GGUGCUACCUGCGUCAUGGCGGGGUCGACGUUUAAGACCCCGGGAGCUGAACAGAGAAACGGCUCCUGUCUGAAAUAUUGUGUAAAGUUCAGAAAUACCGUCCGACCACAGGAGGAGCCCGGAGUCUCACCUGGACAGAUCAGUGCCCUCCUGUAUGCUGUGGAGAAAAGCCACUGGGAGAAUCUCUCCACUUAAAUCCACUCAGAGGGUAGAUCUACGAACCAGUAAGACACAUUUUUCUUUUUAUUCUGUGUGUUUUUGAAUGGCUGUCGAGCCGCUCUCUCUUUGGUUGUUUUGAAGGUGUCUUAUCAUGUGUUCUGUCUUUGCUCAGAUUAAUGUCUAUUUGAAUUGUUUUGCAACAUGCCAUCCGUUUAGCCAACAUAGCAACUCGUGUCUAAUUUGACCAUGGCCACCCAUUAGUUCGUUGCUCCGUCCGACAUGGCCACUCCUUUGUUUGUGUCUUUCUGUUUCUCCUUCUCUUUUUCCUCUUUGUUGCAGAACAGAUAGCCACACAAUUGUGUUGUUGUCCCAACACAAUUGGAGUGUUUAGUGGUUUUGAUGGUGAGUUUAUUUAGAGGGCUGCAGAGUAGUUAGAAGCUUUGGGAGAGAAAUUCUGACCUAAAUAAGAACUGAGCUGGUGAUGGUGUGAUCAGGAAGAAUCAGGUGUCAGGGCUGGACUGAUGUGGUUCAGAGUCUGAAGGGACUUGUUCAGGACUCUGUGGAGACAUGUUUUGUUAACUGAGGACAGAUGGUCAGCUGGUUUUUACCUUUUCAUUGGUUCAAUGAUGUGAGAGUGUUUUUGUAUAAAGCUGCAGGAUGGUGAUGAUAGGAAAGUUUCUCCAGUCAUCACUGAAGGUACCUUGACUUGGCUGCUGUGCUCUGACUGUUGAUUUCUGUCUCGGUCUAAUGAGCUUGGAUCAGUAUAUGUGCACUAACCUUUUUUCUUUUUAGGGAAAUCAACAACUGGUGAGUCCCAUUUUUCUCUUCUAUAAUUCUGUGUAGUGUUUUUGGAGGUCGCCGAGCCUUCCUGUUUAUCUGUCAUAGGGCUGAACAGUUAAUCAAGUGCAGUAUCCAAAUCACUGGAACUGCAAAUUUUAUAUUGUAUCUCAGUGAAAAUUAAACUUAAAAAUUUGCACUAAAAUCAUGACUCAUCACAAUAUCUGCUGAAAUAAUUUCCACUUCAUUUAUUUUUCUUAACUGUAAUAAAAUCCAGUAGGGCUGUGUCUGUUUCUUCUAAUUUUUCACAAACACACCAUGUCAUCAUAGCUCAUCAGUGUCAUUACUUAGAAAUAAAGUAGAUUCUAGAAACCCAAGACAUCACUGAAAGUGAAUUUAGCUUUCAGACAGUAAUUUCACACACUACCUUUAAUGGAUUAUAAUAAUAAUAAUAAUUUUGUGCUUGUGCAUGCAGCAUGAUCGUUGGUUUAUCCAUCCAGCGUGGUUAACGGUCAGUCCCUGUGUGCAUUCAUCCAUCCAACAUGGCUGCUGGUCAGUCCGUCUGUCCGUCAUUUUACAUUUUACAUUUGUUCCUGCUGGAUCUUCAGAGAGAACAUCCUGGUGUAUCUCCACACAGUAAGUCCUUGUAGACCUACAGUCUACAUAAAGUAAGUGCUGUGUUUUUUUUUCUUUUUUGUGCUGGGUUUGGAUAGGAUGCUACUAUUUUUAUUUGUUUAUGUUUAUUUUUAUUUUUUGUUAUUUUUGGACCGCCAAGCCAUCUCCAAUCUAUCCCUCAUCCUUUGGUCUCAGCCGCCGAGCUGAUCUUACGAUCUGUCCAUUUCCUCGUUCAUACAGCCAGCGUGACUUCCCAUCUGUCCGUCCUAGUCAUCUAAAAAUAGAUAAUGAUUAAAUUGAUCAUCUAAACAUUGUAUAGAUGCUUAAACAUCAGAUGCUUAGAUGACCAUAUCUAUAUAGUACAGUGUAUUUUACUAUAGAAGACAACAGUAAUUGGUGGAAGACCUAUUCCUGCUGUCCUGCUUUUUUUUUUAAACCUGUAUAUGCUGAAAGAAAAUGACUGACUGCUUCUAGUCAGUCUUUUUCUUUCAAUUUGUCUUUCAGGGCAGGGUCUAUGUUCACUUGUCUUGGCUGCUGUGCUGCAACAAAGCCUAAGCUCAUCUAUCUCUUUAUCUUUUGUUUGUCCAUCUUUUUGAUGGCCGCCAUGUCAUCACUUGUGGCAGCACCUGUCUGCCUCUGUUUGUUUGUCUUUUCCUUUGUCUGUUGAUUUAUGUCUGCGUGUCCGUUGUCCAUGUGCUGUGGUUUUGUUUGGCCGCCGUGUCAAGAAAACCACAGUACCAUGUUUGCCUAUUUUUAUUUCUACAUUUGUCCGUCCAAGAUGACAACCAUCCGUUCGUCUACCCGUCUAUUAGUCUUUAGAAUCAGUUUCAGGUUUUUCUGGUGAAUCUACAAACAAGUAAGUCCUGUGUUUUUUUUUUUUAAAUUAAUGAGUCGCUGCACCAACCCUUUCUUUCCUGUCUCUUACACAAACGCGCACACAUGCGCACACACACUGAUACUGACACUGUGUCUGUCUUUGUCAGUCUUUGUUCAUUUAUGUCUCUUUUGUCCAUUUGUGUGUCCGUCUGUCUCUCUGUUUUUGUUGUGUGCGUCUGUAUUUCUUUGUCUGUCUGUGUCAUGACCAACUGACAUUCUGAUGGGCUUUAUUGGACUAAUUGACUGUGUCUCUUUGUCUGUCUGCCUUUGUGUCCAUCUUUCUUUGUGUGGCUUUAUUGGACCGACUGUACCAGACUCAAAAACUGACUGUCAAGGACUGAUGGAUCAGAAACCUGUAUUACCAAAGCAGUACAGAAAAUGAACAUAGGCAGAUAAUUGGCAAUACACAUACAACAAUAUGUUAAUACCAACAAUCUCAAAUAUAAUCUAAAUGACUACAUUCAGUCGAACUCGUGACCAUACAGGGCAGAAACUCUACUAAUGUAUAGAGAGAAUCCCUUUAGUAGACGAACUUGGCGUGUGCCAUGACUGUUUCCAGCUCUGUCCAAUCAGCUUAGAUCAGCUUUGGUGCAACUUUUUUUUUCCCCCAGGUAUAUACACAGAAAGUAAGUAUCUCCUUUUCUAGGUGCUAACUGUACAGAACUGAAGAAACCUUUCAGAUGAAAGGUUUUCAAGAACCUCAAACAAGUCCAGUUGCCUUUGUAUAGCACCUAGAAAUACCAGGACCUGGAUGACUGAGAAUCGUCAAAUAAAAGUUAAGUGUUAUUUAUUUAUUUUUUAAUUCUGUUGUGUUUUUGUCUUUUUCUCUGUCUGCCCUUUCUACCUUUUGUCUACCUUUUGUUUCUGUCUAUCAUUGUCUGUCUCCAUGAUGAGUCUUUAGCACUAUGUAGUACAUAAACUUCAGGGUCACAUAUUCACCCUACAAGAGUAUAAAAAGUCAAGCAUUUUGAUCAUCUGGGUUUUGCUGUCUGUCUGAAAUUGGUUACAGACCGCUCAUUUGUUUUUCUCUUAGCUUGCCUCAUACUCUUAAAGAUGUGUAAUGUCCAGCUCGGAUUAGUUGUCAUUCAUAGUUUGCUUGUUUGUUGUUUGCUGUGAUUUGUACAGCGUAGUUGGUGUUGCUUGAUAUUCCACCUUUUCUCCUUGUUACUUUUUAUAUUUGAUCUGAGAUUCCAAAUUGAUCUUAAGAGCAUUUUUUGAUAUUUUGAAUAUUUCCUUUAUUCUUCUUUUAAUAUCACCAUAUUUUAUUACUGGGAUUGAUUGGUUAACUGAUUUGGACUCUGCUUGUGAUGUUGGCUUUCUUACAUCAUCUGUGGGCUGAACAACUGAUUAUUAUGAACUAAAAUCUGUAUUGGCAUCUGAAUAAUGCAUUUUUACAUUUUGAUUUAAAAAAACAAAAUUGGAUUUUGAUUUUAAUGCUGGCUUGUCUUGCUCUGUCAAGUUUAAUUCCAACUGGAGACCAAAGCAGAAACUUUUGUGUUUUACGUAGGGAUGACGCGGUUCUCUCUGUAUUUACUUGCGCAGCAUGUUGGGAGGCCUCCCAGCAGGGGAAUUUUAACCCACCCCUGCAACGCGUUAAGUGACUAGAGUUUGAUAGCACUAAUCGUUAACUUGAUCCACUGCGGCAUUAACUGACACAGAAUAUUUUGUUUUAGUUUCAUAAGUACAUGGGAUUGUCCCUUGGAACUUUUCAUUACUUGGAUUCUCUGAGAGGGAGCAAAUCUGGCAGAAAAAGACAACUUGACCCAACUGGACCCCUGAUUUGGGUAUAUCUGCUUAAUUUUCAAUAUACAGAUGAUGAAGUCAACAGAAUGAAUGAAUGAAUCAAGUUCUCACCAUUUUUUACAAUUUGCGCCUACUGAGUUACCUGCUAAUGACAUCCUUGAAACAGAAAAAUUACACUGUGGGCUGAAUUCCAGAGAAGGUCUUAAGGUUAACAGGCAUUGUCUUGAAUAGAAACAGUGGAUGGAAUUAGAGCUCAUAGACUUUCCUUGCAAUUAGAGCCAGAUGCUGCAGGAAGAAUUCUUGAAUUAGAUGAGACAUUAACAGGCCAUGAGAUUUACAGGAGACAGCUCUUGUGUUUAAAUGAGUGACAGCUCGUAUGAAGUACAUUUGACAGUUCCUCCUUAGCUCCUGAUUGUGUAGCUUCCCUGAUGUUCCUUUCUCUAUGUUAAUCCUUGUUUGGCUGCCCAUCAAAUAAUCCCACUUCAUUCUACCC